rnacentral:rRNA from 1 species
UACGAAGGGGGCUAGCGUUGCUCGGAAUCACUGGGCGUAAAGCGCACGUAGGCGGAUUGCUAAGUCAGGGGUGAAAUCCUGGAGCUCAACUCCAGAACUGCCUUCGAUACUGGCGAUCUUGAGUCCGGGAGAGGUGAGUGGAACUGCGAGUGUAGAGGUGAAAUUCGUAGAUAUUCGCAAGAACACCAGUGGCGAAGGCGGCUCACUGGCCCGGUACUGACGCUGAGGUGCGAAAGCGUGGGGAGCAAACAGG